CAUUGAUUAGACUAUAAUAUAAUAUAUUAAAUACAUGAGGAUAUUACAAUAAUAGAAUGACAAUAUAGGGACAUAUAUUAAAAUAUAGGUAUUUUAACCUAAUUAAAAAAAAAAGACAAAUGUGAUUUUUUCCUUCAUUCUUUCAUUUAGGUAUCUACUGUGAAAGUUUAUAUACGAUACGUGUGGUUUUGUAAUGUGUACUGUGUAUCUUUGUAAGUUUUUACUAAAAAUUUAAAAAUCCCUGUGUCAUUUUAAAAAUAACUUAAAUUUGUUCAUAUAAAUUAUCCGUUAUUGUUGUUAUCGUGUGUCAUAUGCAUUAAUAUUACAUAAUAUUAUAAAACUGGUCGAUUGACCGUCCUUGUCAACCAUCACGGGCACUCACAUACGGCCGAUGUUGCCUGAAAUAACAUUACAUAGAUACCUUAUAUAAAAUAUAAUAAUUCUUGUUUCUAAGCAAAUAAAAUAUAUAUAUAUUUAGUUUAAAUGGUAAAAAUUAUUCUUUAAAAAAUAAUUAUUAGUUUUUACCUGACUAAUCACUAUUCUAAAACUGAAAAAACCUAAAAUACCUGUAUUUCUUUGGUUUUGUAUAGGGGUUUCGGUUUUGAUUAGGGUGUUUUACAAAUAUAAAAUACAGGUUACGGUUAUAUUCGAUUCUUUAAUUUACAAAAGGUUAUGGGUUCUAUAACCAGUUCUUUUUGGUCCGGUCUUAGUCCUUAGUCAAAAUCGCUAAAAUUAUUUCCUAAAUUAUCGUUGAUAUAGCAUCAAUAAUUUAAGAUCUAAAAAUGUAUAAUCUGAAUUAAAACAAACGACCCAAUUAAAAAAGUGCACAUACAUUGAAAAUAUGAACUUAUUAAUAAAAAAAUAAAAAAUU